rnacentral:rRNA from 1 species
ACAUGCUUACAACAUAAUGUUAAUGCAUCAAAUCCCAUUAGAAAUUUGCAGUUUUAGCACACUCGGGCUAGAAUAGUAUUGGGAUGGGUGACCAUGUGGGAAGUCCUAGUAUUUUACAUGCC